AUUGAACGCUGGCGGCGUGCCUAACACAUGCAAGUCGAGCGGCAGCGCGGGAGCAAUCCUGGCGGCGAGCGGCGGACGGGUGAGUAAUGCUUGGGAAUCUGCCUGUUAGUGGGGGACAACCCGGGGAAACGUCGGGCUAAUACCGCAUACGCACUACGGUGGAAAGCCGGGGACCGCAAGGCCUGGCGCUAACAGAUGAGCCCAAGUCGGAUUAGCUAGUUGGUAGGGUAACGGCCACCAAGGCGACGAUCCGUAACUGGUCUGAGAGGACGACCAGUCACACCGGAACUGAGACACGGUCCGGACUCCUACGGGAGGCAGCAGUGGGGAAUAUUGGACAAUGGGGAAACCCUGAUCCAGCGACGCCGCGUGGGUGAAGAAGGCCUGCGGGUUGUAAAGCCCUUUCAGUGGGGAAG
rnacentral:rRNA from 1 species